CAGCCGCCGCGGUAAUACGUAGGGGGCGAGCGUUGUCCGGAAUUACUGGGCGUAAAGGGUACGUAGGCGGCUAUAUAAGUCAGGUGUGAAAUACCAGUGCUUAACACUGGAAUUGCAUUUGAAACUGUGUAGCUUGAGUGCAGGAGAGGAAAGUGGAAUUCCUAGUGUAGCGGUGAAAUGCGUAGAGAUUAGGAGGAACACCAGUGGCGAAGGCGACUUUCUGGACUGUAACUGACGCUGAGGUACGAAAGCGUGGGUAGCGAACAGGAUUAGAUACCCUGGUAGUCCACGCCGUAAACGAUGGAUACUAGGUGUAGGGGGUAUCGACCCCCCCUGUGCCGGAGUUAACGCAAUAAGUAUCCCGCCUGGGGAGUACGGUCGCAAGACUGAAACUCAAAGGAAUUGACGGGGGCCCGCACAAGCAGCGGAGCAUGUGGUUUAAUUCGAAGCAACGCGAAGAACCUUACCAGGGCUUGACAUCCCGAUGACCGGUACAGAGAUGUACCUUCCCUUCGGGGCAUUGGAGACAGGUGGUGCAUGGCC
rnacentral:rRNA from 1 species